AUGGCACUGUCCACACUGGUCUCUCAGAAGGUCAUUGCAUGGCUGGGUGGUUUCCUCCCAGGCCACCUGCAGGCCCUGGUGCUGGGCCCUGUGAGCUCGGCCACCCCCGUGACCCCACGCCCACCCACGGGACUAGCAGGAUCCGCAGCCAUUGCUUGCUUCUGCUGUCACCCCAUCCCUGUGAAGCGGAAGUGCUCCCCUCAGCUGUCUGAGCCCGCCAGGAGCCCCCUGUUCCCCUGCCCUGACCCUGCGGGCCAUGGCCGCAGAACAGAGCGGGCCGGGCACAGAGCGGGCUGCGGUGACUGGCGGCACGAGCCUGCAGCCCCUCCCGCGCGGCGUCCCACCAUAGAGCUCACAGUGUCGCUGGCCGUGUGCGUGCUGCCCUUCCUGUUGUGGGUGUGCGUGAAGGGACUGGAGUUCGUGCUCAUCCACCAGCGCUGGGUGUUCAUGUGCCUCUUCCUCUUGCUGCUGUCGCUCAUCUUCGGCAUCUACUACUACGGGCGCUCCUGGGUGGUGUUCAAGCUCAACAGCAUGCCGCGCCUGCACGAGGAGCACGUGCGGGACAUCCAGAAACAGAUGCGGGAAUGGAAGGAGCAGGGCAGCAAGACCUUCAUGUGCACAGGACGCCCCGGCUGGCUCACCGUCUCGCUCCGUGUCGGGAAUUACAAGAAGACACACAAAAAGAUCAUGAUUAAUCUGAUGGACAUUCUGGAAGUGGACACCAAGAAACACAUUGUCCGUGUGGAGCCCUUGGUGACCAUGGGCCAGGUGACUGCCCUGCUGAACUCCAUUGGCUGGACUCUGCCCGUGUGGCCUGAGCUUGAUGACCUCACAGUGGGGGGCUUGAUCAUGGGCACGGGCAUAGAGUCGUCAUCCCACAGAUACGGACUGUUCCAACACAUCUGCACUGCCUAUGAGCUGGUCCUGGCUGAUGGCAGCUUUGUGCAAUGCGCUCUGUCCGAAAACUCAGAACUAUUCUAUGCCGUACCCUGGUCCCGUGGGACGCUGGGUUUCCUGGUGGCUGCCGAGAUCCGCAUCAUCCCUGCCAAGAAGUACCUCAAGCUGCGUUUCGAGCCGGUGCGGGGCCUGGAGGCUAUCUGUGCCAAGUUCACCCAUGAGUCCCAGCGGCAGGAGAACCACUUCGUGGAAGAGCUGCUCUACUCCCUGGAUGAGGCUGUCAUUAUAACGGGGUCAUGACAGACGAGGUAGAGCCCAGCAAACUGAAUAGCAAUGGCAAUUACUACAAGUCGUGGUUCUUUAAGCAUGUGGAGAACUAUCUAAGACAAAGCCAGAGGGCCUGGAGUACAUUCCCUUGAGACACUACUACCACUGCCACAUGCGAAGCAUCUUCUGGGAGCUCCAGGACAUCAUCCCCUUUAGCAACAACCCCAUCUUCCACUACCUCUUUGGCUGGAUGGUGCCUCCCAAGAUCUCCCUCCUGAAGCUGACCCAGGGUGAGACCCUGCGCAAGCUGUAGGAGCAGCACCACGUGGUGCAGGACAUGCUGGUGCCCAUGAAGUGUGUGCAGCAGGCCCUGCACACCUUCCAAAACGACAUCCCCGUCUACCCCAUCUGGCUGUGUCCAUUCAUCCUGCCCAGCCAGCCAGGCCUGGUGCACCCCAAGGGAAAUGAGGCAGAACUGUACAUUGACAUUGGAGCAUAUGGGGAGCCACAUGUGAAACACUUUGAAGCCAGGCCCUGCAUGAGGCAGUUGGAGAAGUUUGUUCGCAGUGUGCGUGGCUUCCAGAUGCUGUAUGCCGACUGCUAUAUGGACCUGGAGGAAUUCUAGGAGAUGUUUGAUGACUCCUUGUACCACAAGCUGCGAGAGAAGCUUGGUUGUCAGGACGCCUUCCCUGAGGUGUACGACAAGAUCUGCAAGGCCGCCAGGCACUGAGCUGGAGGCCGCCUGGAGAGACGGAUACAUGUGAGUGGUCAGGCAUCUUCCUUUCACUGGAGCUUGGCUGCUUUCCCAGAUCCACGCUUUCAGAGAGAAACCCCUCCAGAAAUCCCCCCCUGACAGCCCAACACCACCUUCCUCCUGGCUUCCAGGGGCAGCCCAGUGGAAUGGAAAGAAUGUGGGGUUUGGAGGCAGACAAGCCUGAGUCCAGUUCCCCGUUUAGAACUCAUUAGCUGUGUGACUCUGGGUGAGUCCCUUAAACCCUCUGAGCCUGGGUCUCUCCAUCAGUUGAAGGGGAUAGUAAUACCUACCUGCAGGUUGUCAUCUGAGUUGAGCACCGGUCACAUUGCAGUGCUGGGUAAGUGCUAGCUCUUGUUGCUUCCCGUUCAGCAUCACAUCUGCAGUGGAGUCUGAAAAGGCUCCACGUCAGGUCACCUGUGCACAGCCAUGGGCCGUGGCUGGAGUGAUGAAGGGGAUGCCCUGGAGUUGCCCUGCCAUCGCCUCCAUCAGCCAGACGAUCCCUUACAGGAGAAGGACAGCUCUUCCCCACCCUGGGGUCUCAGGAGGGAAGUGGUGGGGUAGGGAGGCCCAAGGUGUGCUGUGCCAUAGCCAGGUCUGAGGCCAAAGUUCUCCCCACCAUCCUUGGUGCUGUCCUGCCCCUUCAUCCUCUAUGCCCUGGCCUGCAGGCCAACCCCAGCCACCACUGAGUCCACUCGGAGGGGCCUGUGUUCCUGGAGAAGGCAUUCCAAGGUUGAAUCCUGCCCUAGCCUCGGUCUGGGACACCUAGGUGGCGAAAGUGGUCUGCCCUCUGAAUUGGAUCCAGGGGACCUGGGCUCAUUCUUCUUGGCUUACCAACGCUGCUGGCCUCACCUUGUCCCAAAACCCACUUUGUCUUCGUGGGAGUGCGUCUACGCUGCUCUGUAGCAUGGGGGCUGGGGAGUGGACGGCAUCAAGUAGGAAAAUGGAGUCCACCACCAUGUUUCUGUGGGAUUCUCACUGUGGGGCUGGAAGAAAAGAGCAUCAGCUUGAUUUCUCCAACCACUCAUCUCUCUUUUUUUUCUUUCUCCCACCACUCCCCACCCCAGCUGUAGUUAAUUUCAGUGCCUUACAAAUCCUAAGCUCAGAGAAAAGUUCCAUUUCCGUUCUAGAGGGAAAUGAGCCUCCCUACGUCCUUCCCCUGCUAGUUAUAACUCAAAGCUUGGUUGUUUAUGCAACUCCAUCUUAAGAACUGCCCAGCCUCAGGUGAAAACCCGAAUCUGAGAAGGAAUUGUUGUCAUGUAAGGGAAGCUGGAAUUAAGGGAGCUGAGCCAGUCAUGGUUGUGAGGUGUGAGUCAGAAGACCUAGGUUUCAGUCCCUCUCUACUGUCAGCGAGCUGUGCAAGGUGGGCUAGUCCUUUGUCCUCUGAGCUGCAGUUUUCUCAUCUGUCACAUCACUACAGACAAGACCUCCCUGGAACUCUUCUGAUUGUCUUAGAUACUGUGGUUGCAAAACCCAUAGAAAGCCUCAUUUGGGUGGUCAGAGGAAAAAUAAAUGAUCUAGUGAACACUUGGGUGUUAUCUGUCAUUCAAGAUCCUUCCUUCAGCCCCAAGGCUAGCUCCCAUCUCAUUUUCAGAAAAGCUUAUACCUGGCUUGCAGGGAAGAAUUUGCCUUGUAAUUCGAGGUCCCACAAUCCUCUUAGAGUCACGCUUUGACUGAAGAUUGUUCACCCAUCCCUCCCAAGGCUUGGCACACUGCUAGUGUCUGAACAUGGUCCUGUGAGGGCUGGGGGCAUUCAGGCACUCAGAAGGCAAAGGAACCACCCAACCCAUUUGGCCUCUGGAGGGGGCAGAAGGAAAAAACCUCAUUCUCUAUUUUGCAAAGCAUGUGAAUCCUGGCAUUAGUUCUCAUAGGAGACCCAUGUGCUUCCUUGCUCGAUGCAAAACUGAUGAUUCUACUUGCUAUAGAUGGUUAACAUGAGCUGGUUAAUCCAACAGUGUCAUUGUUUUCGCCAGUGGAGCCUCCAUCCCUAAGCCACUGGGACUGUGGCCAGAGAUGCCAGCAACCUCAGUCACCGUUAAUCAUGUAACCAAAAUCCAGACCUUACCCACAACCUGGGGCUUGGAAGGGAAGGUAUUUUGGAAUCACACCCACAGGUUAAUGUUGCUCCAGUAAAAUCUUGCCUGGAAAGAGGCAGUGUUAGCAUGGUGAGCUGAGUUCAUGGCUUUUUUUUUUUUUUUUAGCCAGUCCUGUCACUGGCCAUCCAUGUGAUAGUUUUGGGUGGAGUUAAACUUGUCCCAGGGGGCAAUGCAUGUGGAAAGUAUCAGAGUAAACCUCUCCCCUCCAGAGCCCUGAGUUUCUUGGCUGCGUGAAGGUUUUCUGUAAAAUCAGAAUUGUAGCCAGUUUCUUUGGCCAGAAGGAUGAAUAAUUGGAUAUUACUGAAAAGGAGGGGUGGGGAUGGGUGUGGCAGUGUAUGGUGUGUGCUUUUUUCCUCUUUGGUCAUGGGGACCAAGGAGAAAGGCAUGAGUCUCCCCUAUCAGGCUCUUGCAGCCACAGGCACUGUAUCUACCAUCUGGAACACAUGACCUCGUGGCUGUGAGGCUGCUGCUUCUGUUAAAAUAAAAGUAUGGCCUGGAAAAAAAAAAAA